rnacentral:sRNA from 1 species
GACUGUAGUCGUUGCAGAUUAAUCCUUAGGUCGCUGGUUCAAAUCCGGCAGGUCGGAUUCUUUCUUUUUUAUUUUUUUCCUCA